rnacentral:rRNA from 1 species
AGCGAACGCUGGCGGCAGGCUUAACACAUGCAAGUCGAGCGGGCGUAGCAAUACGUCAGCGGCAGACGGGUGAGUAACACGUGGGAACGUACCUUUUGGUUCGGAACAACUGAGGGAAACUUCAGCUAAUACCGGAUAAGCCCUAACGGGGAAAGAUUUAUCGCCGAAAGAUCGGCCCGCGUCUGAUUAGCUAGUUGGUGAGGUAAUGGCUCACCAAGGCGACGAUCAGUAGCUGGUCUGAGAGGAUGAUCAGCCACACUGGGACUGAGACACGGCCCAGACUCCUACGGGAGGCAGCAGUGGGGAAUAUUGGACAAUGGGGGCAACCCUGAUCCAGCCAUGCCGCGUGAGUGAUGAA